UACAGAGGUCCCAAGCGUUGUUCGGAUUCACUGGGCGUAAAGGGUGCGUAGGCGGUCGGGUAAGUCUGAUGUGAAAUCUCACAGCUUAACUGUGAAACUGCAUUGGAUACUAUCCGGCUCGAGGAAUGGAGGGGAGACUGGAAUACUUGGUGUAGCAGUGAAAUGCGUAGAUAUCAAGUGGAACACCAGUGGCGAAGGCGGCUUCCUGGUCCAGCACCGACGUUCAGGCACGAAAGCGUGGGGAGCAAACAGG
rnacentral:rRNA from 1 species